rnacentral:rRNA from 1 species
GCAUGCAGUCGUGCGAUGAAGGGGUGCUUGCACCCCGGAUUAGCGGCGAAAGGGAGAGUAACGCGUAGAUACCUACCCUCAGAUCUGGGAUAGCGGCGGGAAACUGCCGGUAAUACCGGAUAAUGUCUCCGGACCAAAGGUGUGAUUCCGUCUGGGGAUGGGUCUGCGUCCUACUAGCUUGUUGGUGGGGUAAUGGCCCACCAAGGCUACGAUGGGUAGCGGGUGUGAGAGCAUGACCCGUCUCACUGGGACUGAGACACUGCCCAGACACCUACGGGUGGCUGCAGUCGAGAAUCUUCCGCAAUGGACGAAAGUCUGACGGAGCGACGCCGCGUGCGGGAUGAAGGCCUUCGGGUUGUAAACCGCUGUCAGUGGGGAGGAAAUGCAUGGGGGUUCUCCCCUGUGUUUGACCGAUCUUCAGAGGAAGCGCAGGCUAAGUUCGUGCCAGCAGCCGCGGUAACACGAACUGCGCGAACGUUAUUCGGAAUCACUGGGCUUAAAGAGUUCGUAGGCGGCCUGGUAAGUCGGGUGUGAAAUCCCUCAGCUCAACUGAGGAACUGCGCCCGAUACUGGUAGGCUUGAGGGGGAUAGAGGUGAGCGGAACUGAUGGUGGAGCGGUGAAAUGCGUUGAUAUCAUCAGGAACACCGGUGGCGAAAGCGGCUCACUGGAUCUCUUCUGACGCUGAGGAACGAAAGCUAGGGGAGCGAACGGGAUUAGAUACCCCGGUAGUCCUAGCUGUAAACGAUGAGCACUAGGUCGAGGAAACCUCCACAUUUUCUGCAUGCAGUCGAA